UACCUUAGGACAUGACCCAGAGACCACUGAAGUCAAAGGGAGUCUUUCCAUUGACUUCAGUGAGCUUUGGAUCAUGUCCUGAUUUC
rnacentral:pre_miRNA from 1 species